rnacentral:tRNA from 1 species
GGACGGCGACGCGGGUGAGGACCCGCCGCUCCCUGCUAAGGAGAUGGCGCUGAUGGGCGUGAGGUUCGACUCCUCCGCCGUCCG